UCUUCUUAAAGCUUUAUUUCGUUUUCUCUCCUUCUCUCUCAUUUCGUCCUCUUUAUUCUCAUCCAUUGGAAAGCAAUUGCGGCGUCACCGCAUUAAAAAAUCUAUUUAAGUAAAUUUCGCCGCCGUUCGAUUUCUUGAAUGUGUAAAUAAUUAUUAAUUAAAAAGACCCGACACACAAACAAUUAUCGUCACGCGAUCACAGGACACCUUUGUGGACCACUGAGUUUUGGUUUCUGGUUUCUGGUCUAUAACAACACGUCGCGAAUUGUCGUGGUCGUGGUCCUUCGUCCUUCGGCUGACUGAGUUGGCUCAGUUGGCCAAAUCGGAUGGCUUCUGAGCUUUGGGGUUAAUUCACCAGCCGGCUGACAACAAACAGCAGCAGAGUUCAACGUGAGACUGAAUGCCGCACGGAAAAGCCUCGUGUGUUGGCCUCGUCGCCUUGGAAAAUCCUCGUCGGCGUGCUGUUGAUAUUUCUCUUUAGCCGGACCAAAAUCGCUUAUGGCCAUCGAAGCGGCCUUAAUUGUGGAAGAAAAUGGCAUCCUGACGGCUUGGAUUGACAAGGGAUACAAAAAGUCUUUUUAUCUGAGAGUUUUAAACUAGAACACGAAAACAUGGCACAUAAUUUUCGCAUACCUUAAAAACGCAUUAAACUGCAAUGGCGCCAAAAGAGAACAUAUAAACAUGAACAUAAACAUGGACAGGACAUGGACACAUACAUACACACGCGUACACACACACACACACAUACAUACAUGGACAGUAGGGGCAAUCUGGACCGGAAACGGAAGCGGAAUCCCCACCAUCC